rnacentral:rRNA from 1 species
AGACGUCUACAUUAGAUACCCCUGUAGUCCCAGCCGUAAACUAUGCGCGUUAGGUGUAUCGGUGACCACGAGUCACCGAGGUGCCGAAGGGAAACCGUGAAACGUGCCGCCUGGGAAGUACGGUCGCAAGGCUGAAACUUAAAGGAAUUGGCGGGGAGCACCACAACGGGUGGAGCCUGCGGUUUAAUUGGACUCAACGCCGGGAAGCUCACCGGAUAAGACAGCGGAAUGAUUGUCAAUCUGAAGGUUUUACAUGACUAGCUG